CAGCCGUAAACUAUGCGCGUUAGGUGUAUCGGUGACCACGAGUUACCGAGGUGCCGAAGGGAAACCGUGAAACGUGCCGCCUGGGAAGUACGGUCGCAAGGCUGAAACUUAAAGGAAUUGGCGGGGGGAGCACCACAACGGGUGGAGCCUGCGGUUUAAUUUGGACUCAACGCCGGGAAGCUCACCGGAUAAGACAGCGGAAUGAUUGCCGGGCUGAAGACUCUGCAUGACUAGCUGAGAGGAGGUGCAU
rnacentral:rRNA from 1 species